ACAUGGGUGGCUCAAUCAGUUGAGCGCCUGACUUCGGCUCAGGUCAUGAUCUGAUGGUUUGUGGGUUCGAGCCCCAUGUCAGGCU
rnacentral:tRNA from 1 species